rnacentral:ncRNA from 1 species
AAAAGGAGAUUUUACUUGGAUUAAGGAUUAAGUUUGUAAUUUUUCUUACGUAUCUCCCUCCUAGAGCCCAGGUAUCAUAUGUACCUCCAAAAUAAGUAGCCUUAAAUACUAGAAGAAAUAA